GCCUGGUUUUCAAAAUUUGAGGAGAUGGAGAGAUUAAGCUGGAAAUUUGCAGAAGGAAGUUGAUCAUGAUUCUCAGCAUGUUCUGACAGUUCCACCUAUCUCAAAUUUUUCUGAAAGUAUAAAUAGGAAUUCUGGAUUUGCUGGAUAAUCUACGGGCCUGAUGUCAUUGCUGCAGGAUGUCCAUCAAAUCCGGAAGUCCUGGUGAGGAUGUCUUCAAUGUGUCAAAAAAUUUGUUUCCUGUAUUUUCUAGUUUUAUGCGGCCCUUUGUUUGCAGCUGGACAAGACAGCAUAGCACGUCACAAAGAGGGACAGAUGACAUGAAGUCCAUAGGACGUGGCCAAGACAGGGAAGCUGCAGAUGGAACAGAUGAAGGAAACAGUUCUGGAGUUUCAGGGUGGCAGCUUUGACCAGAAUCGAGCUUCAGCUGGUAGCUGGGAG
rnacentral:lncRNA from 1 species